rnacentral:lncRNA from 1 species
GAGUAGAUUUUAUUAGUUUGUUUAUUUUUUUUUUGUUUUGGACACUAUUUUGGUUUUGUAACGAAUUAAUUGUAUAUUAUUGACAUUUUAAGUUAACAUUUCAUUGGAUGAAAACUAGCAUUACAUUACUACAUGAUGAACACGACUUAACACAAACAUUGCUUAGCAUAACUUAACAAGAAAAUAACAUGCACAAAACUUAAACAGUACAAGAUGCUUCAUGACGUUUCAACAUCUUGAUAAUAUCGUCUACAAAUCUCGCAAUUGUCGCAUACACCUCAAUCAUACCUUUUUUUUCAUAUUGUUGAUAUGUGAGCCACAUAAC